rnacentral:rRNA from 1 species
GAUGAACGCUGGCGGCGUGCCUAAUACAUGCAAGUCGAGCGAACGGACGAGAAGCUUGCUUUUCUGAUGUUAGCGGCGGACGGGUGAGUAACACGUGGAUAACCUACCUAUAAGACUGGGAUAACUUCGGGAAACCGGAGCUAAUACCGGAUAAUAUUUUGAACCGCAUGGUUCAAAAGUGAAAGACGGUCUUGCUGUCACUUAUAGAUGGAUCCGCGCUGCAUUAGCUAGUUGGUAAGGUAACGGCUUACCAAGGCAACGAUGCAUAGCCGACCUGAGAGGGUGAUCGGCCCCACUGGAACUGAGACACGGUCCCGACUCCUACGGGAGGCAGCAGUAGGGAAUCUUCCGCAAUGGGCGAAAGCCUGACGGAGCAACGCCGCGUGAGUGAUGAAGGUCUUCGGAUCGUAAAACUCUGUUAUUAGGGAAGAACAUAUGUGUAAGUAACUGUGCACAUCUUGACGGUACCUAAUCAGAAAGCCACGGCUAACUACGUG